UAACCGGCGAACGGGUGCGUAACACGUGAGCACCUGUCCGUUUGGUGGUGGGGGACGUAGGCCGGGCUAACGCCCCGGGGUAAUACCGCAUACGGUUGCCGAGGGGAGUCCCUUGGCAAAGAAACCUCCGGGGCACAGAGAGGGGCUCGCGGCCUAUCAGCUAGUUGGGGGGGGUAAUGGCCCACCAAGGCGACGACGGGUAGCUGGUCUGAGAGGAUGGCCAGCCACAUUGGGACUGAGAGACGGCCCAG
rnacentral:rRNA from 1 species